UACGAAGGGGGCUAGCGUUGUUCGGAAUCACUGGGCGUAAAGCGCACGUAGGCGGAUUGUUAAGUCGGGGGUGAAAGCCUGUGGCUCAACCACAGAAUUGCCUUCGAUACUGCAUGGCUUGAGACCGGAAGAGGUAAGUGGAACUGCGAGUGUAGAGGUGAAAUUCGUAGAUAUUCGCAAGAACACCGGUGGCGAAGGCGGCAUCCUGGACCGAGAUCGACGCUGAGGCGCGAAAGCUAGGGGAGCAAACGGG
rnacentral:rRNA from 1 species